AAUGGCACUGAAAGAAUUCACGGGGUACAUAUUUACACAUCACCCGUAGUUCUUCUGUGCCGUAUU
ncrna:Acyrthosiphon pisum (pea aphid) microRNA api-mir-263a precursor